rnacentral:Y_RNA from 1 species
AGCUGGUCCAAGUGAAGUGGUGUUUACAACUAAUUGAUCACAACUAGUUACAGAUUCCUUUGUUCCUUCUCCAGUUCCACUGCUUCACUUGACUAGCCAAAA